GAUGAACGCUGGCGGCGUGCUUAACACAUGCACGUCGAACGGAAAGGCCCAAGCUUGCUUGGGUACUCGAGUGGCGAACGGGUGAGUAACACGUGGGUGAUCUGCCCUGCACUUCGGGAUAAGCCUGGGAAACUGGGUCUAAUACCGGAUAGGACGAUGGUUUGGAUGCCAUUGUGGAAAGUUUUUUCGGUGUGGGAUGAGCUCGCGGCCUAUCAGCUUGUUGGUGGGGUAAUGGCCUACCAAGGCGUCGACGGGUAGCCGGCCUGAGAGGGUGUACGGCCACAUUGGGACUGAGAUACGGCCCAGACUCCUACGGGAGGCAGCAAUGGGGAAGAUUGCACAAUGGGCGCGAGCCUGAUGCAGCGACGCCGCGUGGGGGAUGACGGCCUUCGGGUUGUAAACUCCUUUCGCUAGGGACGAAGCGUUUUUGUGACGGUACCUGGAGAAGAAGCACCGGCUAACUACGUG
rnacentral:rRNA from 1 species